AUUUUGUACGGAACAUUAACACCCGACAAGUCACUUCUCACCCUGCAGAAGGUCACUCAUUCCCACCUGAGCCCUGAGCAGCUCUCUCUGACUCGGGCUCCAGAACGUCCACAAUCCAAAAACCAGAAGGAAACUUCAUUAAUUUCUAAUUUCGACUUUCAAAGCGAUGGCCAGGGCGAGUAGUUUUGAGUUCUCAAACUCCUAGAUUCUGUUCUAUGAGGUACUAUGCGGCCCUGAAUAAAUUAUAACACCAAACUGUGGCCCUUCUCUCAAAUGCAAAACCCUUUCUUCUUUGCCCGCAAUUUCGGAAGCCCUGAGGCCACAUCUCGAGCCCCAGGCGAGCAUCCCAAGGCUUUUUUGUCGCUGGCGGUGCCCCCGCUGCAGAAGUUCCAAGUAGAAAAGACCACGCCGGGCGCCGUAAAGGAGGGGUUGGGCCCCUACCUGGCCUAGGGCAGAGAAGCCACGCCCCGGAAGUAGCCUUCUCGGGUCCUUCGGCCCGCGAGCUCAGCUUCCUCUGGCAGUGUCAGCGUCCGGGCCUCGGCGGACCUCGUUCAGGGCUCCGAAAAGGUGCCUGGCCGAAGCGAGACUCGGAGCGGUCCGGCUGGCGCGCCUACAAGCCCAGGGACUUUACCUGUCUGGAAUGAGGAUGCCGGAAGAGCAGAGAAAUCCAUCGGAGGGCGGAAGAGAGCGCCGCGCUCCAUGGCCUACCCACGUAAAGCUGCGGUGUACCCCUGCGCGCCCCCUGCACCCCCGCAGUCCCCCGGGUGUUCUGGCUCCCGGAGAGAAAAGGCUCAAGUAUAACUAUUAACGGUGUAGGCACCAUCUGUGUGUGCCUCUUCCGGCACCGCUGCUGCAGAAUCCCACAGAGGAGGCAUGUGAACAAGGCUCCUUUCAGAUUCUCCCAUCACCAAAUAAACUGAUUAUCUCUAUCUCAACUCCAAAGACUGAAACUUAAGGACAAGGAAAUCCACGUAAGUGUGCCCUCGGACUGUAUAAUUUAUUAAAACACAUUUUCUGCCCUCUCUACACCCGGCUAGAG
rnacentral:lncRNA from 1 species